GAAAACAGAAUGUGGUUCCUAGGAGCUGAGGACCCAGGGAAAUAAAGAGUUACAGUUUCAUGAGUACAGUUUGAGUUUGGAAGGCUAAACAUUUCUGCAGACUCAUAAUAAUACCUGCCUUCAAUUAUAUCUGACCAUGAAACUGGAUAAUAUGCCAAAUUCAUAUUUCUUCCACAAGUAAUCUCCAGACUGAUUGUGCUCUCCAGACUGGUAAAUAUUGUUCCAGGAUGUUUUCUUAUUUUUAGUUUUUGAAGUCCAUCACUGAUCAUAUAUGCAACAUCCUAUAUAAAAGGAGGCAAAUUCAGUAGCAUCUCUGCUGGCAAUGCCCUCUCUUACAGGCACCAUGACAGCAGCUUGACAUGUGAGAUCUCAUUUAAUCCUCUUUGAAACUGCUGCAAUCUGUCCACUGUUCCCUUUUACAGAUGAAAGAGCUGAGAUUUACAGAGGAUAAGCAAUUUUCUCAAGGGUACGUGUUAGAAGUGGUAAGAUUGGAAUUUGAGCUAUGAGAGAUGAAUUGAUCAUGACCUCCCAAAAGCAAAGAGGAGACCAGGAAUAGGUCAAACAUGAUUUGUGGCAUUGCACUGAUGAUUUCUAUUAUUUUCAGGUUUGAAAUUUGGUACCUGAGCUGUCUUUGUUUUCUUAAUGAAUGCAAAGGGCCUCAGAUAAAUAUAGGGACAGAAUGAAAUGACUGAAUCACCCAGAUCACAAAUAUAUAUAUUUUAUAGGAUCUCCGCACACUAAAUUCUUACUGAACU